rnacentral:sRNA from 1 species
CUAACGAAGAGAAUAAGAGAAGAACGAUCAACAG